CACGUAGGGCGCAAGCGUUGUCCGGAAUUAUUGGGCGUAAAGAGCUCGUAGGUGGUUUGCUGCGUCCGGUGUGAAAACCCAAGGCUUAACCUUGGGCUUGCAGUGGAUACGGGCAGACUAGAGGUAGGUAGGGGAGAAUGGAAUUCCCGGUGUAGCGGUGAAAUGCGCAGAUAUCGGGAGGAACACCGGUGGCGAAGGCGGUUCUCUGGGCCUUACCUGACACUGUGGAGCGAAGGCGUGGGGAGCGAACAGG
rnacentral:rRNA from 1 species